rnacentral:rRNA from 1 species
AGUGAUACGGGUACGGGGAUCAGGGUUCGAUUCCGGAGAGGGAGCCUGAGAAACGGCUACCACAUCCAAGGACGGCAGCAGGCGCGCAAAUUACCCAAUCCAGACACUGGGAGGUGGUGACGAGAAAUACCAGGUCGGUCCCAAAAGGAUUCGACACUGGAAUGAGUUUAAUUUAAAAAUUUAAACGAGAAACAACUGGAGGGCAAGUCUGGUGCCAGCAGCCGCGGUAAUUCCAGCUCCAGUAGUGUAUCCAAACGUUGCUGCGGUUAAAACGCUCGUAGUUGGACAAGAGAGUAACUUGGUGCGGGCGGGGAGUGUGAAGCUUUAUGUGUUUGCCUGUUGUGGUUGGUGUUGCUUGUAUUGUGUCAAAGCUUUACGAGUGCACUGGUCCUUCAGGAUGUAGCAUAGUAGUGCACUUCUCGACCAUGCUGCCAGGUUGCUUGUAAUGUUUCGUGAGAAUGGUGCAUGGUCUUUAUUGUAUUGUGUACUGUGUCUUACGUAGUGUGCCUUGAAUAAAUCAGAGUGCUCAAAGCAAGCUAUCGCUUGAAUGUUAAUAGCAUGGAACGAAUGUGUUGUGAGAGUGUGCUAGUGACUGGGCUUCGUGCUCGGUCCUAGUGCAUAGCACCAACCGCGAAGCGGAACAUUGGUUGCCGACUUCGGGUGAGGAUUAAGAGGGGCAUUUGGGGGCAUUAGUAUUUGGCCGCGAGAGGUGAAAUUCUUGGACCGGCCAAGGACUAACAAGUGCGAAAGCAUUUGCCAAGUAUGUUCCCUUUAAUCAAGAACGAAAGUGAGAGGUUCGAAGACGAUCAGAUACCGUCCUAGUUCUCACCGUAAACGAUGCCAACCCGGGAUCAGUGCGGAUGAUAUGAUUUGGAUCCAGGUUGGUCCCCCUGGGAAACCUUGAGUGUUUAGGUUCCGGGGGGAGUAUGGUUGCAAGGCUGAAACUUAAAGGAAUUGACGGAAGGGCACCACCAGGGGUGGAGCCUGCGGCUCAAUUUGACUCAACACGGGAAAACUCACCUGGUCCGGACAUCGAUAGGAUUGACAGACUAAUAGAUCUUUCAUGAUACGGUGGGUGGUGGUGCAUGGCCGUUCUUAGUUCGUGGAGCGAUCUGUCAGGUUGAUUCCGGUAACGGACGAGACUACGAUCCCCAUUUGGGGAGGUGCAGGACAGGUGACAACGGGGGCCCCGUUGGAAACAGCGGACGGCCGCUGGGACGCCUGUUCCUGGGCUGCGCGCACAGCAAUGUGCGUCCCCAUGGAGAGACAGCCGGAUUGUAAGGCGGAGGAAGCGUGGCAAUAACAGGUCUGUGAUGCCCUUCGAUGUUCAGGGCCGCACGCGCGCUACAAUGAUAACGACAACGAGCGCCUGGACUGAAAAGUUCUGGGAAAUCUUUUGAAUCGUUAUCGUGAUGGGGAUUGAGCAUUGUAAUUCUUGCUCAUGAAAUAGGAAUCCCUUGUAUACGUGUCUCACUUAGGACACGUAGAAUGCGUCUCUGCCCUUUGUACACACCGCCCGUCGCUACUACCGAGUGAAUGGUGUCAUGAUGUCUUGGGACUGGACGUUGUUGGCAGCGAAAGCCGCGGACGACGCUAGGAGCAAGCCAAAAUGCGCAUC